AGCUCGGGGGAGGUAAAACCUUCCAGUGUAUACAUAUUGGUAAUAACGUUUAAAUAUAUAUGUAUUUUUUAGAAAAACCAACUUGUGGGGGCCAAAGAAACCUGCUCUCAGGGCACCAGCUUUCAGUCUCUGAGUUUCUCCAUAAACAGUAAGCAUUCUGGCACGUGCCUGCCCCCAGCCCCUUCUUGUGUCCCUGGCAGACGUUGCUGAUCACUCCCAGAACUCUCUUUCUUGCUCAGGCAGGACUCCGCCUUGGACUCCCUACAGUCCAGCGUUCUGGCAGCCAUGGCCUGUCAGCCGGUAUCAACAGAAGUGAGGAGUCCCACCUUUCCCACUAACCUACUCCCAAGCCACUCAUUUCAGAGGCAGGAAAGGACUAGUUUUAGCUCACUCAUAACCAGACGUGAAAGGAUCAGCUUCUCUUGGGCAGCUGACAAAGACAGAGGCACUGGAUGAAGGAUGUUUUGUGUGCUGGAGUGUGUCUUUUUUUUUUUUCUUCAAAAGUAUAGGUUUGGGACCGAAGCAUCUUCAAAUGCAGAAGAUGUAGGCCCCACUUCCUGCCCCUACUGCCCACUGGGUCCAGGUGGAGGGCAUUGAUAGACAGAGGUAGGGUGUUUGUGUAAACAUAAUACUUUAUUUUCAGGAACCACAGAAACGCCAUUCGCCCCCCUGUGGGGGAGGAGAACAGGAGCUCAUGGUCUAAAUCAAAGGAAAAUGAUCAAGGCGCCCAAGUUGGAGGCAGACUCCUGUCGGCUGUCAAGCUGGGCAGGUCAACGUCUGCCAUACAGGUCCCGCAGACAGUGGACCAAAGGCGUGUGGAGGAGCAGGCCCACGUCCUGAUAUUCAGUUCUGUGCACGCAGGCGCCAGGAGCCUGGCACUGGGGGUGAGAAACUCGGGGAAGGGCUUCAGUUCCGUGGCAGUUGUGCACAGGUGCUCUGAGUCACUACAAGGAGCAAUGUUGCAGGACCAACUCCAGACCAGCCACCUGCUCCUGCAAGGUGAGAUGACCGAGGAAUGAGGAUCCUUCCUGAUUUGCAGAAACAAGGUGAUUGAUACGGUGACUUUAAUCACCAAGCAGCUUUAUCUAGAAGAACCACAAAUUGCUCCUCAGCUACUCAGAAAGAGAGGGGCUUGAUGGCCAUCUCUGAGGAUUAGCAACGUGGAGCAUCAGGACAGGUGAGGUGGUGGGGAGGUGGUCAGCAGAGACUCCAGUCCCCAGGGGGCUCCUGAGACACCUUAACUCUCGUAAACUUGUGCUCCUGGAUCUCCUGGGAGUCCUGUUUGAGUCUCUGCCCUUUUUAGUAUUUUUUGGCCACACCAUACAUCGUGUAGGACCUUAUUUCCUGGACCAGGGAUCAAACCCACGCCCCCUGCAGUGGAAGCUUGGAGUCUUACCCACUGAACCACCAGGUAAGCACCCUCCCGCCUGAGUCUCUGCCUUUUGAUAGGAGAGUGGAAGACAUUAACCUUUAUUGUACUGUUUGUUUAGACUUACUUGGCCAUCUUAUUUUAAUUCAUCAUGAUUUCAUUGUGUUACAUUUUUAAAUUGAUCAAAGUAUCUAUUUCAUUUCCCCCCCUCAACUGCUUUGAAAAUUAUGCCUUCUGUCUCUGUUUGCCUAAUGAAUAACUGUAUAUUUUCAACACACAUACUUAGUUUUCUAAUAAUGUUUAUUGUUUAACAGCAUCUCUGUUCCAGCCUGGUCUUUGCGAAAGCUGAUAAAUCCCCGAGGCAGGGAUUAGGGAGUGGGGGAGGGGCCCCAGCACUGUCUCUGUUUCUGCAUAUGACCUUUAUUUAUCCUUAGAGCUGCCUGGAAAG
ensembl:lncRNA